rnacentral:rRNA from 1 species
GUAUCAUGGCUCAGGAUGAACGCUAGCUACAGGCUUAACACAUGCAAGUCGAGGGGCAGCAUGGACCCAGCUUUGCUGGGUUUGAUGGCGACCGGCGCACGGGUGAGUAACGCGUAUCCAACCUGCCCUUUACUCCGGGAUAGUCUCCUGAAAGGGAGUUUAAUACCGGAUGUGUUUGUCUUUCCGCAUGGGAGCGACAAAUAAAGAUUGAUUGGUAAAGGAUGGGGAUGCGUCCCAUUAGCUUG